ACUUCAUGGUACCCUCUCCAAAAUUGACCAUACAGUCAGUCACAAAAUAGGCCUCAACAGAUACAAGAAGAUUGAAAUAAUCCCAUGCAUCCAGUCAGAUCACCACAGACUAAGGCUGGUCUUCAAUAACAACAAAAAAGACAGAAAGCCCAUAUACCCAUGGAAGUUGAACAAUGCUCUACUCAAUGAUAACUUGGUCAAGGAAGAAAGAAAGAAAGAAAUUCAAGACUUUUCAGAAUUUAAUGAAAAUGAAGACACAACAUACCCAAAUUUAUGGGACACAAUGAAAGCAGUGCUAAGAGGAAAACUCAUAGCUCUGAGUGACUCCAAAAAGAAACUGGAGAGAGCAUACAUUAGCAGUUUGACAGCACACCUAUAAGCUCUAGACCAAAAUAAACAAAUACACCCAAGAGGAGUAGAGGGCAGGAAAUAAUCAAAAUCAGGACUGAAAACAACCAAGUAAAACAAAAAGAACUACACAAAGAAUCAACAAAACCAGAAGCUGGUUCUUCGAGAAAAUCAAGAAGGUAGAUAAACCCUUAACCUGACUAAUCGGAGGGCAAAGAGAGAGUAUUCAAAUUAAAAUAUCAGAAAUGAAAAGGGAGACAUAACAACAGAAUCUGA
rnacentral:lncRNA from 1 species